UACGGGGGGGGCAAGCGUUGUUCGGAAUUACUGGGCGUAAAGGGCUCGUAGGUGGCCAACUAAGUCAGACGUGAAAUCCCUCGGCUUAACCGGGGAACUGCGUCUGAUGCUGGAUGGCUUGAGUUUGGGAGAGGGAUGCGGAAUUCCAGGUGUAGCGGUGAAAUGCGUAGAUAUCUGGAGGAACACCGGUGGCGAAGGCGGCAUCCUGGACCAACACUGACACUGAGGAGCGAAAGCCAGGGGAGCAAACGGG
rnacentral:rRNA from 1 species